GACGGAGGAUGCGAGUGUUAUUCCGGAAUCACUGGGCGUAAAGCGUCUGUAGGUGGUUUAAAAAGUCUGCUGUUAAAAGGUUGGAAGCUUAAACUUCAAAAAUGCAGUAGAAACUUUUAAACUUGAGUAUGGUAGGGGUAGAGGGAAUUCCAGUGGAGCGGUGAAAUGCGUAGAUCUUGGAAAGACCACCAAUGGCGAAGGCAACUCUACUGGGCCAUAACUGACACUAAGAGACGAAAGCUAGGGGAGCAAAUGGGA
rnacentral:rRNA from 1 species